UUCUUCUAGAAAAUAUUGAAAUUUGGUGUAGAGGAUCGUGGAGUAGGAGACUGAUCCUUCAAAAGAUA
rnacentral:sRNA from 1 species